rnacentral:rRNA from 1 species
UACGAAGGGGGCUAGCGUUGUUCGGAAUCACUGGGCGUAAAGCGCAUGCAGGCGGAUUGUUAAGUCGGGGGUGAAAUCCCGAGGCUCAACCUCGGAACUGCCUUCGAUACUGGCAAUCUUGAGUCCGGGAGAGGUGAGUGGAACUGCGAGUGUAGAGGUGAAGUUCGUAGAUAUUCGCAAGAACACCAGUGGCGAAGGCGGCUCACUGGCCCGGUACUGACGCUGAGGUGCGAAAGCGUGGGGAGCAAACAGG